UACGCAUGGGGCUAGCGUUGUUCGGAAUUAUUGGGCGUAAAGGGCGUCUAGGCGGGGAAUUAAGUUGGGUGUGAAAGCCAUGGGCUCAACUCAUGAAUUGCACCCAAAACUGAAUCUCUUGAGUCCGGGAGAGGAGAGCGGAAUUCCAGGUGUAGCGGUGAAAUGCGUAGAGAUCUGGAAGAACACCAGUGGCGAAGGCGGCUCUCUGGCCUAGGACUGACGCUGAAGCGCGAAAGAGUGGGGAGCGAACGGG
rnacentral:rRNA from 1 species